GUGGGGGAUAUUGCACAAUGGGGGAAACCCUGAUGCAGCGACGCCGCGUGAAGGAAGACGUACUUCGGUAUGUAAACUUCUAUCAGCAGGGAAGAAGAUGACGGUACCUGACUAAGAAGCCCCGGCUAACUACGUGCCAGCAGCCGCGGUAAUACGUAGGGGGCAAGCGUUAUCCGGAUUUACUGGGUGUAAAGGGAGCGUAGACGGUGAAGCAAGUCUGAUGUGAAAACCCGGGGCUCAACUCCGGGAUUGCAUUGGAAACUGUUUUACUUGAGUGCAGGAGGGGCAAGCGGAAUUCCUGGUGUAGCGGUGAAAUGCGUAGAUAUCAGGAAGAACACCGGUGGCGAAGGCGGCUUGCUGGACAGUAACUGACGUUGAGGCUCGAAAGCGUGGGGAGCAAACAGGAUUAGAAACCCUUGUAGUCC
rnacentral:rRNA from 1 species